CCCUUAGAUGUUCUGGGCCGCACGCGCGCUACACUGACGAAUGCAACGAGCUUAUAACCUUGGCCGAAAGGUCUGGGUAAUCUCCAAAUUUCGUCGUGAUGGGGAUAGAUUAUUGCAAUUAUUAAUCUUCAACGAGGAAUGCCUAGUAAGCGCAAGUCAUCAGCUUGCGUUGAUUACGUCCCUGCCCUUUGUACACACCGCCCGUCGCUCUUACCGAUUGAAUGGUCCGGUGAAGCGUUCGGACCGUGGCCUUUGGACGGUUCGCCGUCUGUUGGCUGCGGGAAGUUCGUUAAACCUUAUCAUUUAGAGGAAGGAGAAGUCGUAACA
rnacentral:rRNA from 1 species